UCCGUAGGUGAACCUGCGGAGGGAUCAUUACCGAGUUUACAACUCCCAAACCCAUGUGAACAUACCUACUGUUGCUUCGGCGGGAUUGCCCCGGGCGCCUCGUGUGCCCCGGAUCAGGCGCCCGCCUAGGAAACUCAACUCUUGUUUUAUUUUGGAAUCUUCUGAGUAGUUUUUACAAAUAAAUAAAAACUUUCAACAACGGAUCUCUUGGUUCUGGCAUCGAUGAAGAACGCAGCGAAAUGCGAUAAGUAAUGUGAAUUGCAGAAUUCAGUGAAUCAUCGAAUCUUUGAACGCACAUUGCGCCCGCCAGUAUUCUGGCGGGCAUGCCUGUCUGAGCGUCAUUUCAACCCUCAUGCCCCUAGGGCGUGGUGUUGGGGAUCGGCCAAAGCCCGCGAGGGACGGCCGGCCCCUAAAUCUAGUGGCGGACCCGUCGUGGCCUCCUCUGCGAAGUAGUGAUAUUCCGCAUCGGAGAGCGACGAGCCCCUGCCGUUAAACCCCCAACUUUCCAAGGUUGACCUUCCAGAUCCAAGGUAGGAAUACCCGCUGAACUUAAGCAUAUCAAUAAGCGGAGGA
rnacentral:rRNA from 1 species